rnacentral:rRNA from 1 species
CACUCCUACGGGAGGCAGCAGUGGGGAAUUUUGGACAAUGGGCGAAAGCCUGAUCCAGCAAUGCCGCGUGAGUGAAGAAGGCCUUCGGGUUGUAAAGCUCUUUUGUCAGGGAAGAAACGGUGAAAGCUAAUAUCUUUUGCUAAUGACGGUACCUGAAGAAUAAGCACCGGCUAACUACGUGCCAGCAGCCGCGGUAAUACGUAGGGUGCAAGCGUUAAUCGGAAUUACUGGGCGUAAAGCGUGCGCAGGCGGUUUUGUAAGUCUGAUGUGAAAUCCCCGGGCUCAACCUGGGAAUUGCAUUGGAGACUGCAAGGCUAGAAUCUGGCAGAGGAGGGUAGAAUUCCACGUGGAGCAGUGAAAUGCGUAGAUAUGUGGAGGAACACCGAUGGCGAAGGCAGCCCCCUGGGUCAAGAUUGACGCUCAUGCACGAAAGCGUGGGGAGCAAACAGGAUUAGAAACCCCAGUAGUCCC